AUUGAACGCUGGCGGCAUGCCUUACACAUGCAAGUCGAACGGCAGCACGGGAGCUUGCUCCUGGUGGCGAGUGGCGAACGGGUGAGUAAUACAUCGGAACGUACCCUGAAGUGGGGGAUAACGUAGCGAAAGUUACGCUAAUACCGCAUAUUCUGUGAGCAGGAAAGAGGGGGAUCGCAAGACCUCUUGCUUUAGGAGCGGCCGAUGUCGGAUUAGCUAGUUGGUGAGGUAAAGGCUCACCAAGGCGACGAUCCGUAGCGGGUCUGAGAGGAUGAUCCGCCACACUGGGACUGAGACACGGCCCAGACUCCUACGGGAGGCAGCAGUGGGGAAUUUUGGACAAUGGGCGCAAGCCUGAUCCAGCCAUGCCGCGUGAGUGAAGAAGGCCUUCGGUUGUAAAGCUCUUCGUGGAGAAU
rnacentral:rRNA from 1 species